GCCGGGCGCGGUGGCGCACGCCUUUAAUCUCGGCACUUGGGAGGCAGAGGCAGGCGGACUUCUGAGUUCGAGGCCAGCCUGCUCUACAAAGUGAAUUCCAGGACAGCCAGGGCUAUACAGAGAAACCCUGUCUCGAAAAACCACUGGAACACUGGAACUCACUUUGUAGAGCAGGCUGGCCUCGAACUCAGAAGUCCAUCUACCUCU
rnacentral:lncRNA from 1 species